rnacentral:rRNA from 1 species
GACGAACGCUGGCGGCGUGCUUAACACAUGCAAGUCGAACGGAAAGGCCCUGCUUUUGUGGGGUGCUCGAGUGGCGAACGGGUGAGUAACACGUGAGUAACCUGCCCUUGACUUUGGGAUAACUUCAGGAAACUGGGGCUAAUACCGGAUAGGAGCUCCUGCUGCAUGGUGGGGGUUGGAAAGUUUCGGCGGUCGGGGAUGGACUCGCGGCUUAUCAGCUUGUUGGUGGGGUAGUGGCUUACCAAGGCUUUGACGGGUAGCCGGCCUGAGAGGGUGACCGGCCACAUUGGGACUGAGAUACGGCCCAGACUCCUACGGGAGGCAGCAGUGGGGAAUAUUGCACAAUGGGCGGAAGCCUGAUGCAGCAACGCCGCGUGCGGGAUGACGGCCUUCGGGUUGUAAACCGCUUUCGCCUGUGACGAAGCGCGAGUGACGGUAAUGGGUAAAGAAGCACCGGCUAACUACGUG